UCAGGGAGAAGUCUCUUCGGGGAUGAUUAAACCGGCGCACGGGUGAGUAACACGUGAGUGACCUGCCUUUUAGACUGGAACAACUUACCGAAAGGUGAGCUAAUGCCGGAUGAGUUAUAUAAGUGCAUGUUUAUAUAGGAAAAGUUGGGGAGACCUGACGCUGAAAGAUGGACUCGCGUCCCAUUAGCUAGUUGGUAGGGUAAUGGCCUACCAAGGCGACGAUGGGUAGCCGGCCUGAGAGGGUGGCCGGCCACACUGGGACUGAGACACGGCCCAGACUCCUACGGGAGGCAGCAGUGGGGAAUUUUGCGCAAUGCUCGUAAGAGUGACGCAGCGACGCCGCGUGAAUGACGAAGGCCUUCGGGUCGUAAAGUUCUUUCGACAGGGAAGAAAAUGCCUAUAAGUAACUGUGUAUGUAUUGACGGUACCUGUAUAAGCAGCCCCGGCUAACUCCGUGCCAGCAGCCGCGGUAAUACGGAGGGGGCGAGCGUUGUUCGGAGUGACUGGGCGUAAAGAGCACGUAGGCGGUGUUGUAAGUCAUUAGUCAAAGACUAGAGCUCAACUUUAGUAAGGCUAGUGAUACUAUAAUACUAGAGUAUCAGAGAGGAUUGCAGAAUUCCUGGUGUAGCGGUGAAAUGCGUAGAUAUCAGGAGGAAUACCGUUAGCGAAGGCGGCAAUCUGGCUGGAAACUGACGCUGAGGUGCGAAAGCGUGGGUAGCAAACAGGAUUAGAUACCC
rnacentral:rRNA from 1 species